rnacentral:rRNA from 1 species
UGGGGAAUAUUGCACAAUGGGCGCAAGCCUGAUGCAGCCAUGCCGCGUGUAUGAAGAAGGCCUUCGGGUUGUAAAGUACUUUCAGCGGGGAGGAAGGCGAUGUGGUUAAUAACCGCGUCGAUUGACGUUACCCGCAGAAGAAGCACCGGCUAACUCCGUGCCAGCAGCCGCGGUAAUACGGAGGGUGCAAGCGUUAAUCGGAAUUACUGGGCGUAAAGCGCACGCAGGCGGUCUGUCAAUUCGGAUGUGAAAUCCCCGGGCUCAACCUGGGAACUGCAUCCGAAACUGGCAGGCUUGAGUCUCGUAGAGGGGGGUAGAAUUCCAGGUGUAGCGGUGAAAUGCGUAGAGAUCUGGAGGAAUACCGGUGGCGAAGGCGGCCCCCUGGACGAAGACUGACGCUCAGGUGCGAAAGCGUGGGGAGCAAACA